AGCUACAUAUUAAAGAGAUUUAUUUAUAUAAAUAGGCUUGCUAGCUGAUUGUAUAUAUAUGCUGGCCGUAUUUCAUAGCAAGCUCGCUUUUAAUAGGCAACCAGUAAUAUGAGCAAUUCUUUACCUACAAGCCUAUAAUUAUAUUAACUCUAAGAGAAAUCUAAUAAUAAACGGAGUGAAUUGAAAUAUCUUAUUAACUUCAGGAAAAGAAAUCAAAAGAGAUUCUAUGAUUAGCGUGAGCUAAAAUAGAGUAGCCUAGAAAGUCAAAUGGUGGAUAAACUGUUUAAAUUUAAUGGGGAACCUUCCUCAAAGGCUAAAUAUAAUAUGUAAGCGAUAGUGGAAAGUACCGUGAGGGAACCAAAACAAAAACAGUGAUUUUAUAAGCAGUUCGGAAAAAUAAAAAAGUUAGAACGUACCUUUUGCAUAAUGGGUCACCAAGUUAACAUUAGAUGCGAGAUUCUACGUAGUUAAACCGAGCGUUAAAAUAACGGUAAGUGUCUAAAGUUAGACCCGAAGCCUGGUGAUUUUACCAUAAUCAGGAUUAUAAAAGUCCGAACGGAAUAUUGUAGCAUAAAUAUCCGAAGAAUUAUGGUAGGUGUAGUGAAAGACAAUACUGACCAGGAUAGCUGGUUUUCUGCGAAACCUAUAACAGUAGGCAAUUUAAGUAUAAUAUCUUAGCAGGUACAGAAUUUAAUCUCAGACAAGACAUAAGGCUUAACUUGUUAACAAGUUAAGCCCAUGUUUUAUUUUGUACAAAUUGGGGGAUCAUGAAGAUUUUAUCAGUGAGUAUGUAGACUCGGAAUGGCAAAGAUAUAUCUUAAAUCAUCAGACAUAGAAUGAUAAGGUUGUAUGUCAAAAGGGAAACAGCCCAGAACAAGAGUUAAGGUUCCUAAAUUAUUAGUUGAGUGAAAUUAAGAAGGUUUUUAUUAAAGUCGACAAGGAGAUAGGCUUAGAAGCAGCCAUAAUUUUAUGACCUCGUAACAGAGCGCUUGUUAAGUUUUAAAAGCAUCGAAAAUUUAUCGGAUCUAAACAAUAUACCGAAACCUUGUCCAUAUUAUUUUAUAAUUAAUAGUCUCAGCAAGCUCGGACUAUACAAUUAUAAUUAAAUGGGGUAGCAGAACGUUGAGCUAAAUUAAGAUUUUUAUUUUUUAAAUGAAAUUAUAAUAAUUUAACUCAAGUGAUAAUGGUGACAUGAGUAACUAAAAGAAAAUUUUCCGCCUAAAGCUUAUGGAUGUAAUUAAGUAACGGCCUCUAAGUUUAUGGAAUCAAAAGAUUAAAACGAUGAGACAAUCUUUCAUACUAAGGACGACAUUUUAAGUGCAAAAUGUACUGGAAAAAUAGUAAUAAGUUUAAGCUAUGGCUAGAACUAGCUAUAGCUGUAAAUGGAAAGUAACCGUACCUAGAAUCUGAAACAAGUAAGCUAGUAGAGAAUACGAAGGCGUAAAUGAGCUAACAAUCAUAAAGGAACUCGGCAAAUUGACUACCGUAACUUCGGGAUAAGGAGAGCUCAUUAUUCUUGAUUAAUAUCAGGUAAAGAGGAAGAAGCAUGAAAUAGUGUUGUACGACUGUUUAAUUAAAACACAGCACUUUGCUGAAAGAUUAAAAAUCUAAGUAUAGAGUGUGAUGUCUGCCCGGUGCCGGCUGGUUAACAGAUAUAAUUAAAUAUACUAAUAUUUGAUGUAGACGGAAACCCCGGUUAAAGGCGGCCUUAACGUGAGGGUCCUAAGGUAGCGAAAUGCCUUGGCCGUUAAAUGCGGUCUUGCAUGAAUGAUGUAACGAUACAACAGCUGUCUCUAUGAUUGACUCAGUGAAAUUGGAAUAGCUGUGCAGAUACAGUUUACCUCUAGUUAGACGAGAAGACCCUAUGCAGCUUUACUGUCACUAAUUAUAGAGUAUGAUAAACAAUUUUCAGUUUAUAAGGUAAUUGACGGCUGGCUUGCUUAGCAAGCUGGCUCUAUGACAAUGAGAAUCCUUUAUUUUUUUUUCAUAUGAAUGAAUUGGUUUAGGACGAGCUUAAGCUCGUAGUAAAUCAACCUAAUUCAGCUUAUUUUCCUUUCUGCUGUAAGCGCAUAAUGAUAGAUUAUACUUAAAUUUGGAUUUAUGCCUGCAGAAAUAGAUAAGUACCCUUGGUUAAGGAACUAUCGCUAGGGGACAGUUUAUGUGGGGCACAGACCCUGUAAAGAGUAAACAGGAGUGUCUAAUAAUUUAUAAUUAUUUUGUUUGCGAUUUAAGGUAGUAGAACUAUUUUUAAUCAUAUAAAAUUAUUUAUAUGUACAUUCGUUGUAUAUAUAUUUAAAAAAAGGUAGGAUUUUCACUAUAUAGAAAUUAGAGAUAAUAAAAAUAUUAAGUAGUAGCUGCUGAGUCCUAAUCCCGCCGAAGGGGGGGAUAUGGACUACUAUGUAUUUCAUAGCAAGCUCGCACUAAUAUUUUUUAACUAUUAAGACUGGCUAUCUAGCUAUGCUCUAAUAGUUAUGUUUUAAUUAUCUAAAAAGCUCAACGGCUAAAUCUUGCCUUACUGUUUGAUUAUCAACAAAUCUUACAGUUGCGUAAGCAGGGCAUAGGAUCACAAGAUGCAACAAGGAAAGAUCUUGGAUUAUUGGAAAAGCUACGCUAGGGAUAACAGGCUAAUUUGCGCAAGAGUGUACAAAAUGAGUGCGCGGUUUGGCACCUCGAUGUCGGCUUAACUUAUCCUCAUGGAUGCAGGAACUAUGUAGGGUGCGACUGUUCGUCGAUUAAAAAGUUACAUGAGCUGGGUUAAAUACGUCGUGAGACAGUAUGGUUUCUAUCUUCUAGGGGGAAUUAGAAUAUAAUAAGAACUAACUUUUGUACGAAAGGAACAAGAAGAAUUUAAUUUGUAAAAGGGUUAAAUAAUAGUUACUAACCUAUGGUUUACCUGUUGUCUAUGUGCCCAAAUAUUAAAAUAUAGGAUAAAAAUUCUAUAUAUCUGUAUAGCUUUAGCUAUACAUAGGGAUGUUUCUUUCACUAAGAUAAAUAUAUAGCAUAGGCACGGCAGGAAAGCUAAGUUGGUUAAGGAUAAGUGCUGAAAGCAUAUAGGCACGAAGCUUAUCUUAAGAUAUUUCUUAAAUAUACGUAAAAUAUUAUUACGAAGGAUUAAUAUAGGCUUUAUCCGUACGAAUCUGGAGAUUUUUAAGAAUAAAGUACUAAUUUUAUAAAUAACUAUUUAU
rnacentral:rRNA from 1 species